rnacentral:rRNA from 1 species
ACCCGCUGAACUUAAGCAUAUCAAUAAGCGGAGGAAAAGAAACUAACAAGGAUUCCCCUAGUAACUGCGAGUGAAGCGGGAAAAGCUCAAAUUUGAAAUCUGGCGUCUUUGGCGUCCGAGUUGUAAUUUGCAGAGGGCGCUUUGGCAUUGGCAGCGGUCCAAGUUCCUUGGAACAGGACGUCACAGAGGGUGAGAAUCCCGUACGUGGUCGCUAGCCUUUACCGUGUAAAGCCCCUUCGACGAGUCGAGUUGUUUGGGAAUGCAGCUCUAAAUGGGAGGUAAAUUUCUUCUAAAGCUAAAUACUGGCCAGAGACCGAUAGCGCACAAGUAGAGUGAUCGAAAGAUGAAAAGCACUUUGGAAAGAGAGUUAAAAAGCACGUGAAAUUGUUGAAAGGGAAGCGCUUGCAGCCAGACUUGCCUGUAGUUGCUCAUCCGGGUUUUUACCCGGUGCACUCUUCUAUAGGCAGGCCAGCAUCAGUUUGGGCGGUUGGAUAAAGGUCUCUGUCAUGUACCUCUCUUCGGGGAGAACUUAUAGGGGAGACGACAUGCAACCAGCCCGGACUGAGGUCCGCGCAUCUGCUAGGAUGCUGGCGUAAUGGCUGU